GAGGGGAGAGAGAGGGGUGGAGUGAGAGGAAGGGAGAGGUCUAUCUGUCUUUCUCUCUUUCAGUAUCUGUUCUUCGGAUGGCCGGCUCGAUAUUUUUCACUUUAUUGUUUUUGUUGCCUGUUUUUCUCAUUUGUUGCUGGAAGAUGUUUUCCUCACUGUGUCUGCCUGUCUGCCUGGUUUUUUGGGGGAUUUUGGGGUUCUCAAGAGGAAACAUCAUAACUCAGGGUCCCUCACUUGACACAGAAAUGUCAACGAUUUCAGAAGAGGAUUCCACAACUCUGAUAAUACAGCAACAAAAUGCCUCCACUCAAAUGGUACAGUCUCGCCCCCUGCUGUUAAUGAAGCGCUAUUGGAUUCUGCUUGUGACCCCGUUCUGUGCUGUGGUUAUCGGGGCGCUGCUAUUCACCUUCACUCUGCACCUGCAACACA